AGAGUUUGAUCCUGGCUCAGGAUGAACGCUAGCUACGGGCUUAACACAUGCAAGUCGAGGGGCAGCGGGAUUGAAGCUUGCUUCAAUUGCCGGCGACCGGCGCACGGGUGAGUAACGCGUAUCCAACCUUCCGUACACUCAGGGAUAGCCUUUCGAAAGAAAGAUUAAUACCUGAUGGUAUGAUGAAAUUGCAUGAUAGCAUCAUUAAAGAUUUAUCGGUGUACGAUGGGGAUGCGUUCCAUUAGGUAGUAGGCGGGGUAACGGCCACUAGCCUACGAUGGAUAGGGGUUCUGAGAGGAAGGUCCCCCANAUUGGAACUGAGACACGGUCCAAACUCCUACGGGAGGCA
rnacentral:rRNA from 1 species